rnacentral:hammerhead_ribozyme from 1 species
AUUCAGUUGACGAGUCCAAAAUAGGACGAAGUGUCGUGUGUCCUAGAU